rnacentral:rRNA from 1 species
UACGUAGGAGGCGAGCGUUGUCCGGAGUUACUGGGCGUAAAGGGUGCGCAGGCGGUGGCCCGCGUGGGCGGUGAAAGCUCCUGGCUCAACUGGGAGAGGGCCGUCCAGACGGGGUCACUUGAGGGGCGGAGAGGGGCGUGGAAUUCCGGGUGGAGCGGUGAAAUGCGUAGAGAUCCGGAGGAACACCAAAGGCGAAGGCAGUGUCCUGGGGAGUACCUGACGCUCAGGUGCGAAAGCCAGGGGAGCGAACGGG